rnacentral:misc_RNA from 1 species
AUGGAGAAGAAAUUGAUAAAGUCUUGAUUUUGAUGGGUGAUGCACUAUUAAAUCUUGAUGCUGCAAUGGGUGUUAUUACUUGCUUAGUUUGUUUAUAGUGGAAUUUGUCUAUGGGACUGCAUAAGCACAAAAAGUAUAUACUGCUGAGAUCAUUUUACAGCAUUUGCACUUACCUCCAUGAUAGCUAGGAAUUUUUCUGCAAUCUAGCUAGAGGGAUUUGCACCUCGACUUUUUAUACGGAUAAGUUGUGUUA